UACGUAGGGAGCAAGCGUUGUCCGGAAUCAUUGGGCGUAAAGCGCGCGUAGGUGGCCCCAUAAGUCCGCUGUGAAAGUCAAAGGCUCAACCUUUGAAAGCCGGUGGAUACUGUGGGACUAGAGUACGGAAGAGGCGAGUGGAAUUCCUGGUGUAGCGGUGGAAUGCGCAGAUAUCAGGAGGGACACCAAUAGCGAAGGCAGCUCGCUGGGACGUUACUGACACUGAGGCGCGAAAGCGUGGGGAGCGAACAGG
rnacentral:rRNA from 1 species